AUUACUGCUCAGUAACACGUGGAUAAUCUGCCCUAUGGUGGAGGAUAACCCCGGGAAACUGGGGAUAAUACUCCAUAAGUCAGGAGUACUGGAAUGUCUCCUAACUGAAAGUUUCGGCGCCAUAGGAUGAAUCUGCGGCCGAUUAGGUAGUUGUUGGGGUAACGGCCCAACAAGCCCGUAAUCGGUACGGGUUGUGGGAGCAAGAGCCCGGAGAUGGAAUCUGAGACACGAUUCCAGGCCCUACGGGGCGCAGCAGGCGCGAAAACUUUACAAUGCAGGAAACUGUGAUAAGGGAACCCCGAGUGCCCGUACACGCGGGCUGUCCCGGUGUUUAAAACACAUCGGAAGAAAGGGCCGGGCAAGACCGGUGCCAGCCGCCGCGGUAAUACCGGCGGCUCGAGUGGUGACCACUUUUAUUGGGCUUAAAGCGUUCGUAGCUUGAUUUUUAAGUCUCUUGGGAAAUCUCACGGCUUAACUGUGAGGCGUCUAAGAGAUACUGGGAAUCUAGGGACCGGGAGAGGUAAGAGGUACUUCAGGGGUAGAAGUGAAAUUCUGUAAUCCUUGAGGGACCACCGAUGGCGAAGGCAUCUUACCAGAACGGCUUCGACAGUGAGGAACGAAAGCUGGGGGAGCGAACGGGAUUAGAUACCCCGGUAGUCCCAGCCGUAAACUAUGCGCGUUAGGUGUGCCUGUAACUACGAGUUACCGGGGUGCCGAAGUGAAAACGUGAAACGUGCCGCCUGGGAAGUACGGUCGCAAGGCUGAAACUUAAAGGAAUUGGCGGGGGAGCACAAUCUCAUCGUUAU
rnacentral:rRNA from 1 species